ACCUUCUGUGGUGUAGUGGUAGCACCUUGACCUAGUAAUUAUAAGUCCUAGGUUCAAGUCCCAGGAGGGGUA